rnacentral:rRNA from 1 species
UACGGGGGGUGCAAGCGUUAUUCGGAAUUAUUGGGCGUAAAGGGCGCGCAGGCGGUCUGGUAAGUCAGAUGUGAAAGCCCGGGGCUUAACCCCGGAAGUGCAUUUGAUACUACUUGACUUGAGUAUGGGAGAGGGAAGUGGAAUUCCUGGUGUAGCGGUGAAAUGCGUAGAUAUCAGGAGGAACACCGGUGGCGAAGGCGACUUCCUGGACCAAUACUGACGCUGAGGCGCGAAGGCGUGGGGAGCAAACAGG